rnacentral:rRNA from 1 species
AUUGAACGCUGGCGGCAGGCUUAACACAUGCAAGUCGAGCGAGAGGCGGACGGGUGAGUUAUGUCUGGGAAACUGCCUGAUGGAGGGGGAUAACUACUGGAAACGGUAGCUAAUACCGCAUACCAUCAGAUGUUCCCAGAUGGGAUUAGCUAGUAUGUGGGGUAAUGGCUCACCUAGGCGACGAUCCCUAGCUGGUCUGAGCGGAUGACCAGCCCAACUGGAACUGAGGCACGGUCCAGACGCCGACGGUAGGCAGCAGUGGGGAUUAGUGCAAAAUGGGCGCAAGCCUGAUGCAGCCAUGCCGCGGGUGUGAAGAAGGCCUUCGGGUUGUAAAGCACUUUCAGCGAGGAGGCGUUACUCGCAGAAGAAGCACCGGCUAACUCCGUGCCAGCAGCCGCGGUAAUAC